rnacentral:rRNA from 1 species
CCUACGGGUGGCUGCAGUAGGGAAUAUUGGGCAAUGGACGAAAGUCUGACCCAGCCAUGCCGCGUGCAGGAUGACUGCCCUAUGGGUUGUAAACUGCUUUUCUAUGGGAAGAAACACUCAUACGUGUAUGAACUUGACGGUACCAUAGGAAUAAGGAUCGGCUAACUCCGUGCCAGCAGCCGCGGUAAUACGGAGGAUCCCAGCGUUAUCCGGAUUAAUUGGGUUUUAGGGGUGCGAAUACGGACUAGGAGAAAUCUUGCGGCUCAACCGUAAAAUUGCCGUUGAAACUGGUAGUCGUGAGUUCGGUCGAGGUGGAUGGAAUGUGUCAUGUAGCGGUGAAAUGCUUAGAUAUGAGCCAGAACACCAAUUGCGAAGGCAGUUCACUAGACCGAUACUGACGCUGAGGCACGAAAGCGUGGGGAGCGAACAGGAUUAGAUACCCUGGUAGUC